CCAGGAUUGACUUCCUGUCAGUGUUAUUAAUGAAGGACUUCCUGGGUCGCCCAGUGAGGGGAACCACUCAGUUCAUCACUUUAUCCAUUAUUACUUUGACUGAUGCAUUGCUUUAUGUUCAACAGGGCGCCUCACCCCCAUGGGGUCGCAACCCCAUGUUGAGGAUUAGGUUUGAGGGUUCGGUUACAGGUUCGAACAAAUUGUUUCAGGGUUCGGGUUUCUUAUCUGGGUUAGGGUUUAGGGUUAUGAUUUUGGUUCUAGUGUUUAGGUAAAGUGUUUGUGUUUCCGAUUUGGAUUACUUUUUAGGGUUUGGUUUUAGGGUUAGGGUUUAAUUUCUAGAUUCGGUUUAAGGGAUCGGUUUUUGGUUCUAGGGUUAAGGUUUCCUCUGGGGGUUAAUGUUUAGGGUGGUUUUUGGUUUUAGGGCUAUUCUGAGGAUAAGGUUUUAGUGUUUUAAGGUUUUAGGGUUUCCUAUUACAUUUAGGUCUUGCUUUUACGGUUUAGGUUUUGUAAUUACACACACACACGCACGCACGCACGCACGCACGCACGCACGCACGCACGCACGCACGCACACACACACACACACACACACACACACACACACACACACACACACACACACACACACACACACACAGUGAGCUCAAGGGACAAAUACAUUAACAAAUUUGUCAUUGUAAUUCAUUUAAGUUAACCAAUACCAAAUUUUGAUUUAGAUAUUUUAUUUUGUAAUGCCAUAUGAUGAGCACAUUUUUGCUGUUUUAGUUUCAUAAUGCCCCAUCAAUCGAUGGAUAAUUUAAUCAUCAUUUAUAAAAUACAAAUGGGAUCAUAUGUAAAUAUGUACAAUGCGUUCUUGACCUUAUUUAAUAAUUUCAUUCACAGACAACACUUCACCACUGUUGACAAUUCAUCGUUGGAGGACAAAGUGCAAUCAAUAGAAAAAACUAUUCCAGUUGUGUCGAAACAUGUAGGUGUCACUCAAGUUCCUGACUCCCAUUCAGCCACCGCAGAGGAGGAGGGUCAAAAGUUAAAGGUGAGUUAAAAUGGAGUCUCUCCUUUGAUUUUAAAAUGAAACGGUUGUUGUUUAAGGCAUAAGUGGGAAAUUAUUUGUGGAUUUUGUGGCUGCAUCCCUCACCCUAACCCUAACCCUAUUUUGCUAACUUUUUUAAUGGCGUGCCAUCAUUCCAUCUGCCGUUACCCAUCUGUGGUUUCACACAUUCAAACAUACGGGAGAGAAGGUGGUCCGGGAUUAUAAGGGGAGUAGGGCGGUAGACUCCUAGGCAGAAUGCCACACGCCUUAUAUUUAGAGCAGUAAAUUAAAGCAUACCAGCUGAAUCAUGAUGACACUGGAGCAAGUCUUGUUCAAACGAUUGCAGUCUGAAGUGUACGGAAAA
rnacentral:lncRNA from 1 species